GAUCAUGGCUCAGGAUGAACGCUAGCGACAGGCCUAACACAUGCAAGUCGAGGGGCAGCGGAGAGGUAGCAAUACCUUUGCCGGCGACCGGCGCACGGGUGAGUAACACGUAUGCAAUCCACCCUGUAACAGGGGGAGUAACCCGGAGAAAUCCGGACUAAUACCCCACUAAUAUGGGCUCUCCGCAUGGAGGGGUCCCAUUAAAGAAGGGGCAAUUUUGGUUUACUAGACGAGCAUGCGCUCCAUUAG
rnacentral:rRNA from 1 species